rnacentral:lncRNA from 1 species
GAGUCCCAUGGUAAACACCCCUGUCCCCGUGAACCCUGCCAGCACUGGGAGAAGCUCUUCUUAGGAUGUCCACUUUACAAACCUGACCCUGCACACCCCGCUCUGUGCCCUGCACCUCCAUCCUGAACUAUCUGGACACAGCAGGCUGGAGUGCAAUGGCACCAUCUCGGCUCACUGCCACCUCUGCCUCCCGGGUUCAGGCGAUUCUCCUGCCUCAGCCUCCCGAGUAUCUGGGAUUACAGUGCCUCCUGCCACCCUGCCAGCACCGAGCCCCUCUUCCAGCCCACCCCAGUGGGGUCCAGGCCCCUCCCUGGAGCCUCACCUUGCGGGUCACGGUGCACUGCUGAGUCAUGUCCUGGAUGAGGGCUAUGAGCUGCUGCUGAGCCCUGCAGAGACCAGCAGAGGCCCUGACCCAGCUGCCUCCUGCCAGACAGGCAGCAGAAGCCGUCCACCCUCCUGAGAAGCCCCACGGCCUCCUCCAGGGUCGUGUCCUCCAGGACUGCCUUGAACAAGGGCUCUGAGGCUUCGUAAUCAACCUGAGGGCAAGUCGAGAAGGUCAGUCUCUUUCCCCCGGGACUCUGAAUCCAGCCAGAAGACAGAAGGCGCUGAGGGCACUGAGGCGAGGCGCGGGCCAGCCCUGCCGUAGGACCACUGCCUGCACGCCUUGGUCAAAACAAAGCCACACACCAGAGCCUCUGUGGGGCCUUCACACCUCUAGUGAUGCGUGCUACACAUAGUGCUGGCCAGAGAGUCAACUGCCAACCCUUCCCCAGUCGAGAUCGGGGGUUCUUUGUGAUAAGCACUUUCCUGUCUUGAAAAAGAAAAGAAAAGAAAAGAAAGAACCUCGGUUCUAGAACAUUCAAGAGCAUUCUAGAUAGAGGUUUCUUAGCCUUGGGAUCAUUCUGUGCUGCUGCGGGCUAUACCGGGCCCUACAGGAUGCUGAGUGGCAUCCCUGGCCUUCACCUACCCGAUGCCCUGGCUCUCCACCCACAGCCUUCCCCACUGUGAAGGCCCACCCCCCAGGGCUUCCACCAUCCACUUCAUUUCUUCUCAAUAUUGUUCUAAGCUUAGGAGAGUAGAUAUUUUUACAAUAAAAAUUAAGAUGUGUUUUAACACCAUUAGAAUCUAAUUGGCCCCCUUAGGAUAUCGGGACUAUCUCCCUGAACAUCGUCAAGGGGCUCUGUUGCUUGAACUACCUCAGAGCUGAUAAUUGGGAACCUUAAGAGCAGGGUUCCCCAACCCCUGGGCCACAUACUGGUACUGGUCCAUGGUCCAUCAGGACCCGGGUCACACAGCAGGAGGGGCGUGGUGGGCAAGUGAGCAUUACGGCCUCAGCUCCACCUCCUGUCAGCUCAGCACAGCAGUAGAUUCUCAGAGGAGCAUGAGCCCUAUCGUGAACUGUGCAAGUGAGGGAUCUAGGUUUCACGCUCCUUAUGAGAAUCUAAUUCCUGAUGAUCUGUUACCGUCUCCCAUCACCCCCAGAUGGGACCGUCUAGUUGCAGGAAAACAAGCUCAGGGCUCCCACUGAUUCUGAAUUAUGGUUCAGUGUAUGAUUCUUUCAUUACAUAUUACAGUGUAAUAAUAAUAGAAAUAAAGUGUACAAUCAA